UACAGAGGGGGCAAGCGUUGUUCGGAAUUACUGGGCGUAAAGGGCGCGUAGGCGGCCGCCUAAGUCAGACGUGAAAUCCCUCGGCUCAACCGGGGAACUGCGUCUGAUACUGGCGGGCUUGAAUUCGGGAGAGGGAUGUGGAAUUCCAGGUGUAGCGGUGAAAUGCGUAGAUAUCUGGAGGAACACCGGUGGCGAAGGCGGCAUCCUGGACCGACAUUGACGCUGAGGCGCGAAAGCCAGGGGAGCAAACGGG
rnacentral:rRNA from 1 species